rnacentral:piRNA from 1 species
UCCGGAAAUAUUGCUAAAAAA